rnacentral:rRNA from 1 species
AUUGAACGCUGGCGGCAUGCCUUACACACGCAAGUCGAACGGCAGCGGGGGAGAAGCUUGCUUUUCCUGCCGGCGAGUGGCGAACGGGUGAGUAAUACAUCGGAACGUGCCCUGUAGCGGGGGAUAACUAGUCGAAAGAUUAGCUAAUACCGCAUACGACCUGAGGGUGAAAGUGGGGGACCGCAAGGCCUCAUGCUAUAGGAGCGGCCGAUGUCUGAUUAGCUAGUUGGUGGGGUAAAGGCCUACCAAGGCGACGAUCAGUAGCUGGUCCGAGAGGACGAUCAGCCACACUGGGACUGAGACACGGCCCAGACUCCUACGGGAGGCAGCAGUGGGGAAUUUUGGACAAUGGGCGAAAGCCUGAUCCAGCAAUGCCGCGUGUGUGAAGAAGGCCUUCGGGUUGUAAAGCACUUUUGUCCGGAAAGAAAUGGCUCUGGUUAAUACCUGGGGUCGAUGACGGUACCGGAAGAAUAAGGACCGGCUAACUACGUGCCAGCCGCCGCAGUAA